rnacentral:rRNA from 1 species
GACGAACGCUGGCGGCGUGCUUAACACAUGCAAGUCGAACGGAAAGGCCCUGCUUUUGUGGGGUGCUCGAGUGGCGAACGGGUGAGUAACACGUGAGUAACCUGCCCUUGACUUUGGGAUAACUUCAGGAAACUGGGGCUAAUACCGGAUAGGAGCUCCUGCUGCAUGGUGGGGGUUGGAAAGUUUCGGCGGUUGGGGAUGGACUCGCGGCUUAUUAGCUUGUUGGUGGGGUAGUGGCUUACCAAGGCUUUGACGGGUAGCCGGCCUGAGAGGGUGACCGGCCACAUUGGGACUGAGAUACGGCCCAGACUCCUACGGGAGGCAGCAGUGGGGAAUAUUGCACAAUGGGCGGAGGCCUGAUGCAGCAACGCCGCGUGCGGGAUGACGGCCUUCGGGUUGUAAACCGCUUUCGCCUGUGACGAAGCGUGAGUGACGGUAAUGGGUAAAGAAGCACCGGCUAACUACGUGCCAGCAGCCGCGGUGAUACGUAGGGUGCGAGCGUUGUCCGGAUUUAUUGGGCGUAAAGGGCUCGUAGGUGGUUGAUCGCGUCGGAAGUGUAAUCUUGGGGCUUAACCCUGAGCGUGCUUUCGAUACGGGUUGACUUGAGGAAGGUAGGGGAGAAUGGAAUUCCUGGUGGAGCGGUGGAAUGCGCAGAUAUCAGGAGGAACACCAGUGGCGAAGGCGGUUCUCUGGGCCUUUCCUGACGCUGAGGAGCGAAAGCGUGGGGAGCGAACAGGCUUAGAUACCCUGGUAGUCCACGCUGUAAACGGUGGGUACUAGGUGUGGGGUCCAUUCCACGGGUUCCGUGCCGUAGCUAACGCUUUAAGUACCCCGCCUGGGGAGUACGGCCGCAAGGCUAAAACUCAAAGGAAUUGACGGGGCCCCGCACAAGCGGCGGAGCAUGCGGAUUAAUUCGAUGCAACGCGUAGAACCUUACCUGGGUUUGACAUGGAUCGGGAGUGCUCAGAGAUGGGUGUGCCUCUUUUGGGGUCGGUUCACAGGUGGUGCAUGGCUGUCGUCAGCUCGUGUCGUGAGAUGUUGGGUUAAGUCCCGCAACGAGCGCAACCCUUGUUCACUGUUGCCAGCACGUUAUGGUGGGGACUCAGUGGAGACCGCCGGGGUCAACUCGGAGGAAGGUGGGGAUGACGUCAAGUCAUCAUGCCCCUUAUGUCCAGGGCUUCACGCAUGCUACAAUGGCUGGUACAGAGAGUGGCGAGCCUGUGAGGGUGAGCGAAUCUCGGAAAGCCGGUCUCAGUUCGGAUUGGGGUCUGCAACUCGACCUCAUGAAGUCGGAGUCGCUAGUAAUCGCAGAACAGCAACGCUGCGGUGAACACGUUCCCGGGGCU